rnacentral:rRNA from 1 species
GACGAGCCACACAAACGUUAUUCGGAAUUACUGGGCUUAAAGGGUGCGUAGGCUGCGCGGAAAGUUGGGUGUGAAAUCCCUCGGCUCAACCGAGGAACUGCGCCCAAAACUGCCGUGCUCGAGGAAGAUAGAGGUGAGCGGAACUUAGGGUGGAGCGGUGAAAUGCGUUGAUAUCCUAAGGAACACCGGUGGCGAAAGCGGCUCACUGGAUCUUUUCUGACGCUGAGGCACGAAAGCUAGGGUAGCGAACGGG